AUUGAACGCUGGCGGCAUGCCUUGCACAUGCAAGUCGAACGGCAGCACGGGUGCUUGCCCCUGGUGGCGAGUGGCGAACGGGUGAGUAAUACAUCGGAACAUGUCCUGUAGUGGGGGAUAGCCCGGCGAAAGCCGGAUUAAUACCGCAUACGAUCUACGGAUGAAAGCGGGGGACCUUCGGGCCUCGCGCUAUAGGGUUGGCCGAUGGCUGAUUAGCUAGUUGGUGGGGUAAAGGCCUACCAAGGCGACGAUCAGUAGCUGGUCUGAGAGGACGACCAGCCACACUGGGACUGAGACACGGCCCAGACUCCUACGGGAGGCAGCAGUGGGGAAUUUUGGACAAUGGGCGAAAGCCUGAUCCAGCAAUGCCGCGUGUGUGAAGAAGGCCUUCGGGUUGUAAAGCACUUUUGUCCGGAAAGAAAUCCUUGGCCCUAAUACGGUCGGGGGAUGACGGUACCGGAAGAAUAAGCACCGGCUAACUACGUG
rnacentral:rRNA from 1 species